GACGAACGCUGGCGGCGUGCCUAAUACAUGCAAGUCGAGCGAAUCUUUUGGGGGCUUGCUCCCAAAAGAUUAGCGGCGGACGGGUGAGUAACACGUGGGCAACCUGCCUAUAAGACUGGGAUAACUUCGGGAAACCGGAGCUAAUACCGGAUACGUUCUUUUCUCGCAUGAGAGAAGAUGGAAAGACGGCUUCUAGCUGUCACUUAUAGAUGGGCCCGCGGCGCAUUAGCUAGUUGGUGGGGUAAUGGCUCACCAAGGCGACGAUGCGUAGCCGACCGGGGAGGGGGAUCGGCCACACUGGGACUGGGACACGGCCCAGACUCCUACGGGAGGCAGCAGUAGGGAAUCUUCCGCAAUGGACGAAAGUCUGACGGAGCAACGCCGCGUGAGUGAAGAGGGCUUUCGGGUCGUAAAACUCUGUUGUUAGGGAAGAACAAGUACGAGAGUAACUGCUCGUACCUUGACGGUACCUAACCAGAAAGCCACGACUAACUACGUGCCAGCCGCCGCCGUAAAAC
rnacentral:rRNA from 1 species